GAUGAACGCUAGCGGCAGGCUUAAUACAUGCAAGACGAACGGCAAGUUGAGUAGCAAUACUUGACCUAGAGUGUCGCACGGGUGCGUAACACGUAUGCAACCUACCUAUAACAGGAGGAUAGCUCGGGGAAACUCGGAUUAACCCUCCAUAACAUGAUGAUGUGGCAUCACAUUAUGAUUAAAACUGAGGUGGUAAAGGAUGAGCAUGCGUCUGAUCAGUUAGUUGGUGAGGUAACGGCUCACCAAGACGAUGAUCAGUAGGGGAACUGAGAGGUUGAUCCCCCACACUGGCACUGAGAUACGGGCCAGACUCCUACGGGAGGCAGCAGUAGGGAAUAUUGGACAAUGGGUGCAAGCCUGAUCCAGCCAUGCCGCGUGCAGGAAGAAGGCCUUCUGGGUUGUAAACUGCUUUUGUCAGGGGAUAAAAAGCCCAUGCGUGGGAAAUUGCAGGUACCUGAUGAAUAAGCCACGGCUAACUACGUGCCAGCAGCCGCCGUAA
rnacentral:rRNA from 1 species